rnacentral:rRNA from 1 species
ACGAACGCUGGCGGCGUGCCUAAUACAUGCAAGUUGAGCGAUGAAGAUUGGUGCUUGCACCAAUUUGACGAGCAGCGAACGGGUGAGUAACGCGUGGGGAAUCUGCCUUUGAGCGGGGGACAACAUUUGGAAACGAAUGCUAAUACCGCAUAACAACUUUAAACAUAAGUUUUAAGUUUGAAAGAUGCAAUUGCAUCACUCAAAGAUGAUCCCGCGUUGUAUUAGCUAGUUGGUGAGGUAAAGGCUCACCAAGGCGAUGAUACAUAGCCGACCUGAGAGGGUGAUCGGCCACAUUGGGACUGAGACACGGCCCAAACUCCUACGGGAGGCAGCAGUAGGGAAUCUUCGGCAAUGGACGAAAGUCUGGCCGAGCAACGCCGCGUGAGUGAAGAAGGUUUUCGGAUCGUAAAACUCUGUUGGUAGAGAAGAACGUUGGUGAGAGUGGAAAGCUCAUCAAGUGACGGUAACUACCCAGAAAGGGACGGCUAACUACGUG